GACGAACCGUGCGAACGUUAUUCGGAAUCACUGGGCUUAAAGCGCGUGUAGGCGGGCCGGCACGUCCGUCGCUGAAAGCCCCCGGCUCAACCGGGGAAGUGGCGUGGAUACGGCCGGCCUGGAGGGGGGUAGGGGGGACCUGGAACUUCCGGUGGAGCGGUGAAAUGCGUUGAGAUCGGAAAGAACACCAACGGCGAAAGCACUCUGCUGGGCCGACACUGACACUGAGAGACGAAAGCUAGGGGAGCGAAUGGG
rnacentral:rRNA from 1 species